UCUCACAAACUUAUAUUUUUCUGUCGGUGAAAGCGAAGAGUCUUUCUCUCUCUUCUUCGAUGUUCUUGAGGAAUCUUAGAGAAGGAAAAUCAUUGAAAUCCGUUCAAUAAAAUCUCAUCAGUUCUUACAAAUCAUGAUGUUAGGGAUCAAAAAAGAGGUUGCGCAAGAUCAACUUCUAUUUCGCAGAUCUACACUAUCUGUGGCUGCAGUUUUUGAGGUUUGUGUACCUGAGGACCUACAGAAGCUUAAAAUUGAAGAUGAGCAGAUUGAAGGUCUACUGGCGGUUCUCCAACGAAGUGAGAAGACGAUGUUUGCUGUUUCAAGUAAUCCUUCUGAAUCAAAACUAUAACUUGAGGAAGGGGCCAGUUCAUACUGAUGUUGCUGUUCCAAGAGGAAAGACUUGUUACCUCUCCGAGUUAAGAACAGGAACAUAAGUAAUCGUUGUUAAUCAGAGCACGCAAUAGAGAAGGUCCGCUUUUCCUCGUGGAUGCUAAGUUAGAGUUGAAUGGUUUGGAUGUAUACAAAGAAGAUCUAAAGCAAUAAAUACAUUAUCUGCAGUGUUCUAAAGAGCAACAGGGCAAGGUCUACUAUAUAGAAGAUAAGUUAUUUAAAACAAAUGUGUCUUCUUCUAGGUUAAUAAGUUAUGUUCAGUUUUAAUAUAUCAUGGAUAUUUUGUUAAAAUCUGUUACAAAUUUUUAUUUGACAGGGUCUAUACAAUUUGAAGCUCAAAACUAAUGGAAUUGAGCUUAUUACAAAUGAAAGACAUUGGAGAGAGACAUAACGUUAUGCUUCUCGUAAGCAAUUUGGUACGCAGGGUAUUUUGGUACGCAGGGUAAAGGGAGCAUAUAAGAAGGUCCGACGUCGACUCAAAUUAAUCUUUCAGCAUAUGGAGGGGUUUGUCUCCACGAGUGAAUCACUUUCACUUGCGUACUCCAUUUUUUGGACCGAGGUUUCAAGCCGUUGAUCAAAACCAAACUCUGGUUUGAAGACAUAAUUAAAUUGGGUGCGAUGAAAAAAUUAGCUUGGAACGUUUGAGGUGAUAUUGAAAAGGUACAUAAUUGUUCGUGUGUGACAUAGAUGUAUACUAAACACAAAAAGUUUUGUAACACAGUUAUUUAUAUGCUUACUAUUACAUCUAUGUUAUUAUUGUGGUUCAUCUAGAUGGCUAAAAUAUUGUUUUGUAAUGCAAGAUCCAUAUGGUACCAUUUGGGUUAUUUUUUAAUGAAAGCUUUCAAUGGCGUAUGUUCAAUGUAUCUAUUA